rnacentral:rRNA from 1 species
AUGAACGCUAGCGGCAGGCCUAAUACAUGCAAGUCGAGGGGUAAGAGUCAGCUUGCUGACUACACGACCGGCGCACGGGUGCGUAACGCGUAUGCAACCUACCUUUAACAGAGGAAUAGCCCCGAGAAAUCGGGAUUAAUACCACAUAACAUUAUGAUAUGGCAUCAUAUUAUAAUUAAAACUCCGGUGGUUAAAGAUGGGCAUGCGUGACAUUAGCUAGUUGGUGAGGUAACUGCUCACCAAGGCUACGAUGUCUAGGGGUUCUGAGAGGAUGAUCCCCCACACUGGUACUGAGACACGGACCAGACUCCUACGGGAGGCAGCAGUAAGGAAUAUUGCGCAAUGGAGGCAACUCUGACGCAGCCAUGCCGCGUGCAGGAUUGAAGGCCUUAUGGGUCGUAAACUGCUUUUAUUUAGGAAUAAACUUUCGUACGUGUACGAAACUGAAGGUACUAAACGAAUAAGCACCGGCUAACUCCGUGCCAGCAGCCGCGGUAAUACGGAGGGUGCAAGCGUUAUCCGGAUUUAUUGGGUUUAAAGGGUGCGCAGGCGGACCAAUUAGUCAGUGGUGAAAUCCCGAGGCUCAACCUCGGAACUGCCAUUGAUACUGUUGGUCUUGAAUACGGGUUGAAGUAGGCGGAAUGUAGCAUGUAGCGGUGAAAUGCAUAGAGAUGCUACAGAACACCGAUCGCGAAGGGCAGCUUACUAAACCGAUAUUGACGCUCAGGCACGAAAGCGUGGGGGAGCGAACAGGAUUAGAUACCCUGGUAGUCCACGCCGUAAACUAUGAUCACUCGUUGUUGGCAAUACACAGUCAGUGACCAAGCGAAAGCGAUAAGUGAUCCACCUGGGGAGUACGAUCGCAAGGUUGAAACUCAAAGGAAUUGACGGGGGCCCGCACAAGCGGUGGAGCAUGUGGUUUAAUUCGAUGAUACGCGAGGAACCUUACCUGGGCUCAAAUGUAAGUUGACAGUUUCUGAAAGGGAAUUUUCUUCGGACAAUUUACAAGGUGCUGCAUGGUUGUCGUCAGCUCGUGCCGUGAGGUGUCGGGUUAAGUCCCAUAACGAGCGCAACCCCUACUCUUAGUUGCCAUCAGAUAAUGCUGGGGACUCUAGGAGAACUGCCUACGCAAGUAGAGAGGAAGGUGGGGAUGACGUCAAAUCAGCACGGCCCUUACGUCCAGGGCUACACACGUGCUACAAUGGCCGGUACAGAGGGCAGCCACCUGGUGACAGGGAGCGAAUCUCUAAAGCCGGUCUCAGUUCGGAUCGAAGUCUGCAACCCGACUUCGUGAAGCUGGAAUCGCUAGUAAUCGCGCAUCAGCCAUGGCGCGGUGAAUACGUUCCCGGGCCUUGUACACACCGCCC